rnacentral:sRNA from 1 species
GGCGGAGGAGGGUUCAUUCAAAAAAAAGAAAAAAAAGAAAGACCUUUCUCCACCUCUCCCCUCCCCUCCACUGUAAAAUUAGCCUUUU